AAGUCGUAACAAGGUUUCCGUAGGUGAACCUGCGGAAGGAUCAUUAACACGUAUCCAAACGUUAACCCCCCUGUGAACCUUCAAUGUGCUCGUACACUUUGUCAAAGCGAGGCAAUCCCUGGUAAAUCAUCGCCGAACAGUUUUGAUUCUGGGACUUCCUCAAAGAGUGUGCAUGUUGCGCGAGGCAAGUGGCCUGGCAUUCCCAAGCAGUUAAUGUCUGAAAGUGUCAUUAGCUGUGUAAGGAUGACGCAGUAACGAUCGUUGGUUAUCACCACUUAAUGCAUGACAGACGCGCCAGCGCUUAAUUGUGCGGCGACCAAAAACCGAACAACUGUUAACAAUGGAUAUCUUGGUUCUC
rnacentral:misc_RNA from 1 species